rnacentral:sRNA from 1 species
AAGGUUCGGGUCGAGCAUCGCGAGACAACGCGCUUCAGCGCGGCCCGCAGGGUGAGGCGCAACGCGCCGAAUAAUCCUUCUCACACCACCA